AGAAGGAAUAACAACAUCGAGGAGAGGAAGAUGGCCGAGGUUAAAGAAUAAAGACAAACUGAGAGAGAGAUAGUUGCAGACGCAGUCACGCGAGGAGAGGAAAGAAGGAAUAACAGCAUCGAGGAGAGGAAGAAGGCCGAUGUGAGUAUGCAGAAGUGAGUCAGAAGACAGCAUAGGAGAGGAAGACGAUAGUUGGCAGAACUCAAAAGUGAGCUCUCACUCUUGGUGAGAUGUUCGAGAUGAGUGAGACUUGGAGCUAGUGACUCGUGUGAGUUGUGACUUCUCUAGCUCCUGAAGGUGCCUCUUAGUUUUGUUGUUGUGGCUGACUUAGCUGCAGAUUCACUGGAACUUGGAAUUCCUCUCCUACGCCCAGACCACUUGUGAGAACAGAAUUUCUGUUUGUUCCAUUGCCAUCUCUUGUUCCAUUGACCUGAGAGGCAUUUUUGCCGUUGGCAUGAUUUGUUGUGAUGGAGAAGGCCGUCUAAACGAGAAGUCUGUCAUGCUGCAGAGCAGAAUUUAUUUCAUUUUCAGGCUCCAGAAACAAUUGUUUGGUACCACUUCUACUCCAUUGGAAGUGAAGAAGCUAUCCCAACACGCGGAAGGUCUUUAUUAAAUAGUAAUCACCCUUGAAUUGGGUUAUAUAAAUUCAAUAUUUUUGCUAUGAUUUUGGGUUCUGUAAAGUGACAAGUGCAUCAUUAGAGAUUCGUAUGGAUUUUAGAGUUUAAAAUGGAUUUAUUUUAUGUGUUUUUUGUUGUGGAUAAUUGUAAAUUUCCUACUCUUUCUCAU